GUGCCAGCAGCCGCGGUAAUACGUAGAGAGCAAGCGUUGUCCGGAAUCAUUGGGCGUAAAGGGUACGCAGGUGGUUUGAUAAGUCAGAGGUGAAAUCCACCAGCUCAACUGGUGAACUGCCUUUGAUACUGUUAGACUUGAGGAUAAGAGAAGAAAACGGAAUUCCUAGUGUAGUGGUGAAAUACGUAGAUAUUAGGAAGAAUACCAAUGGCGAAAGCAGUUUUCUAACUUAUUCCUGACGCUGAGGUACGAAAGCUAGGGUAGCAAACGGGAUUAGAAACCCGGGUAGUCC
rnacentral:rRNA from 1 species